rnacentral:rRNA from 1 species
UAGAGUUUGAUCCUGUCUCAGGAUGAACGCUAGCUACAGGCUUAACACAUGCAAGUCGAGGGGCAGCAUGAACUUAGCUUGCUAAGUUUGAUGGCGACCGGCGCACGGGUGAGUAACACGUAUCUAACCUGCCGAUGACUCGGGGAUAGCCUUUCGAAAGAAAGAUUAAUACCCGAUGGCAUAGUUCUUCCGCAUGGUAGAACUAUUAAAGAAUUUCGGUCAUCGAUGGGGAUGCGUUCCAUUAGGUUGUUGGCGGGGUAACGGCCCACCAAGCCUUCGAUGGAUAGGGGUUCUGAGAGGAAGGUCCCCCACAUUGGAACUGAGACACGGUCCAAACUCCUACGGGAGGCAGCAGUGAGGAAUAUUGGUCAAUGGACGAGAGUCUGAACCAGCCAAGUAGCGUGAAGGAUGACUGCCCUAUGGGUUGUAAACUUCUUUUAUACGGGAAUAAAGUGAGGCACGUGUGCCUUUUUGUAUGUACCGUAUGAAUAAGGAUCGGCUAACUCCGUGCCAGCAGCCGCGGUAAUACGGAGGAUCCGAGCGUUAUCCGGAUUUAUUGGGUUUAAAGGGAGCGUAGGCGGACGCUUAAGUCAGUUGUGAAAGUUUGCGGCUCAACCGUAAAAUUGCAGUUGAUACUGGGUGUCUUGAGUACAGUAGAGGCAGGCGGAAUUCGUGGUGUAGCGGUGAAAUGCUUAGAUAUCACGAAGAACUCCGAUUGCGAAGGCAGCUUGCUGGACUGUAACUGACGCUGAUGCUCGAAAGUGUGGGUAUCAAACAGGAUUAGAUACCCUGGUAGUCCAUACAGUAAACGAUGAAUACUCGCUGUUUGCGAUAUACAGUAAGCGGCCAAGCGAAAGCGUUAAGUAUUCCACCUGGGGAGUACGCCGGCAACGGUGAAACUCAAAGGAAUUGACGGGGACCCGCACAAGCGGUGGAGCAUGUGGUUUAAUUCGAAGCAACGCGAAGAACCUUACCAAGUCUUGACAUCCCGUUGACCUGUUAUGUAAUGUAACAUCUCUUCGGAGCAACGGAGACAGGUGGUGCAUGGUUGUCGUCAGCUCGUGUCGUGAGAUGUUGGGUUAAGUCCCGCAACGAGCGCAACCCUUGUCCUUAGUAGCCAGCAGUAAGAUGGGCACUCUAGGGAGACUGCCGGGGAUAACUCGGAGGAAGGUGGGGACGACGUCAAAUCAUCAUGCCCCUUAUGACUUGGGCUACACACGUGCUACAAUGGCGUAAACAAAGGGAAGCGAACCUGUGAAGGCAAGCAAAUCCCAAAAAUAACGUCUCAGUUCGGAUUGUAGUCUGCAACUCGACUACAUGAAGCUGGAAUCGCUAGUAAUCGCAGAUCAGAAUGCUGCGGUGAAUACGUUCCCGGGUCUUGCACUCACCGCCCGUCAA